AACGCGAAGAACCUUACCUGGGCUCGAAGCGCAGUGGACUGGGGUAGAAAUAUCCCUUUUCGCAAGAACCGCUGCGGAGGUGCUGCAUGGCUGUCGUCAGCUCGUGUCGUGAGAUGUUGGGUUAAGUCCCGCAACGAGCGCAACCCUUAUCGUUAGUUGCCAGCGGGUUAUGCCGGGCACUCUAGCGAAACCGCCCCGGAUAACGGGGAGGAAGGUGGGGAUGACGUCAAGUCCUCAUGGCCUUUAUGUCCAGGGCUACACACGUGCUACAAUGGCCGGUACAAACCGUCGCAAACCCGCGAGGGGGAGCUAAUCCCAAAAAGUAAUCCUCAGUUCGGAUCGGAGUCUGCAACUCGACUCCGUGAAGUUGGAAUCGCUAGUAAUCGCGGAUCAGAACGCCGCGGUGAAUACGUUCCCGGGCCUGUACACACCGACGUAUA
rnacentral:rRNA from 1 species